rnacentral:miRNA from 1 species
UUUGUGUGUGUGUGUGUGUGUACAUAUAUAUUUGUGUGUGUGUGUGUGUGCACACACACACACACACACACACACACACACACACACACACAUA